rnacentral:rRNA from 1 species
CUGCUGCCUCCCGUAGGAGUCUGGGCCGUGUCUCAGUCCCAGUGUGGCCGUCCACCCUCUCAGGCCGGCUGCCGAUCGUCGCUUUGGUGGGCCGUUACCCCGCCAACUGGCUAAUCAGACGCGGGCCCAUCCUGUACCACCGGAGUUUUCAAAGGAUUACCAUGCGGUAUUCCCUAUUAUGCGGUAUUAGCACCUAUUUCUAAGUGUUAUCCCCCGGUACAGGGCAGGUUGCCCACGCGUUACUCACCCGUCCGCCACUAAGGCAGAUU